rnacentral:rRNA from 1 species
AAUAGAUACCCCCGGUAGUCCACGCCGUAAACGAUGGAUACUAGCUGUUUGAGCGCAAGUUUGAGUGGCUAAGCGAAAGUGAUAAGUAUCCCACCUGGGGAGUACGGGCGCAAGCCUGAAACUCAAAGGAAUUGACGGGGGCCCGCACAAGCGGUGGAGCAUGUGGUUUAAUUCGAUGAUACGCGAGGAACCUUACCAGGGCUUAAAUGUAGAUUGACGUAUUUGGAAACAGAUAUUUCUUCGGACAAUUUACAAGGUGCUGCAUGGUUGUCGUCAGCUCGUGCCGUGAGGUGUCAGGUUAAGUCCUAUAACGAGCGCAACCCCUGUUGUUAGUUGCCAGCGAGUAAUGUCGGGAACUCUAGCAAGACUGCCAGUGUAAACUGUGAGGAAGGUGGGGAUGACGUCAAAUCAUCACGGCCCUUACGUCCUGGGCCACACACGUGCUACAAUGGCCGGUACAGAGAGCAGCCACUUAGCGAUAAGGAGCGAAUCUAUAAAGCCGGUCACAGUUCGGAUCGGAGUCUGCAACG